GGGGCGAUAGGUCAACAGGAGACCGCUACGCCCGCAACGUAGAGAUCGGGGUGCGAUUCCCCGUCGCUCCA
rnacentral:tRNA from 1 species